CAAACUGCAUGGUGCAUAUUGUAUGUGGGAGUGCUUAGUUGUUUCCUACAUUUUCAGGUUGAUUGAGCAUUUAGAAUAAGGCUGGCUAAAACGUAUUUUUCCUUGACCAAGUUUGAGCAAGCUUGAUAGAUUCAGGCUAGCUUGAGCACGCCCUGCACCAU